AAUAAAUCCAAAAAAAUUUGUCCGCUACAAUUCUUUUGAAAAAGCAGCCCCAAACCAAUUGAAGAUGUGCGAACCUUGCGGCUUUUCCGUUGCGCCGUGUGGUCCUUACGGACCCAUAGGACCAUAUGGACCGAUUACCGCUUGCGGAGCGCAUGGUAUUUAUGGACCACCUUGCAUACCGGAUUCGUCACCGAACCCUCCCUGCUGUCCCUCACCUUGUCCAGUAGGCUGCUGUCCACCACCAUGCGAUCCCUGCUCCAACUGUUGUCCAAAUCCAUGUUGCCUCUGAAAUUGGACUGAAAAUUGGUGUCAGCUUAAUUUCCACUCUAAAGGAGUUUUCAUGCAAUGUCUUGAGUUGAAUUGGGGCGAAAAAAAUUUGUUGAUACAUCCAUAGACGGUUCGUGUUGAGCUAACGGUUGAUUUAAAGUAUCAGUUGUACAUUCGGUCGUGAGGGAUUAACUUUGUAUAUACUGAAUACAUAAGUAAUCGACACCGCUUUUCGUGUUAUAUAUAAAGCAUGUAAAUAUGAACCGUGUAUUAUUAGAAAUUGUAAUCCAAUGCUUCGUUUUUGGUAAUAAAAUUCUUGCAAUAGUCGAUUGUAAAGCCUAAAA